GUGGGGAAUCUUCCGCAAUGGACGAAAGUCUGACGGAGCAACGCCGCGUGAACGAUGACGGCCUUCGGGUUGUAAAGUUCUGUUAUACGGGACGAAUGGUACGACGGUCAAUACCCGUCGUAAGUGACGGUACCGUAAGAGAAAGCCACGGCUAACUACGUGCCAGCAGCCGCGGUAAUACGUAGGUGGCAAGCGUUGUCCGGAAUUAUUGGGCGUAAAGGGCGCGCAGGCGGCGUCGUAAGUCGGUCUUAAAAGUGCGGGGCUUAACCCCGUGAGGGGACCGAAACUGCGAUGCUAGAGUAUCGGAGAGGAAAGCGGAAUUCCCAGUGUAGCGGUGAAAUGCGUAGAUAUUAGGAGGAACACCAGUGGCGAAAGCGGCUUUCUGGACGACAACUGACGCUGAGGCGCGAAAGCCAGGGGAGCAAACGGGAUUAGAAACCCGUGUAGUCC
rnacentral:rRNA from 1 species